rnacentral:rRNA from 1 species
AAUGAUACCCAGGUAGUCCACGCCGUAAACGAUGAGUGCUAAGUGUUAGAGGGUUUCCGCCCUUUAGUGCUGCAGCUAACGCAUUAAGCACUCCGCCUGGGGAGUACGGUCGCAAGACUGAAACUCAAAGGAAUUGACGGGGGCCCGCACAAGCGGUGGAGCAUGUGGUUUAAUUCGAAGCAACGCGAAGAACCUUACCAGGUCUUGACAUCCUCUGACAACUCUAGAGAUAGAGCGUUCCCCUUCGGGGGACAGAGUGACAGGUGGUGCAUGGUUGUCGUCAGCUCGUGUCGUGAGAUGUUGGGUUAAGUCCCGCAACGAGCGCAACCCUUGAUCUUAGUUGCCAGCAUUCAGUUGGGCACUCUAAGGUGACUGCCGGUGACAAACCGGAGGAAGGUGGGGAUGACGUCAAAUCAUCAUGCCCCUUAUGACCUGGGCUACACACGUGCUACAAUGGAUGGUACAAAGGGCUGCAAGACCGCGAGGUCAAGCCAAUCCCAUAAAACCAUUCUCAGUUCGGAUUGUA